GAAAGAUGGUUUCGGCUAUCGCUUACAGAUGGGCCCGCGGUGCAUUAGCUAGUUGGUAGGGUAAUGGCCUACCAAGGCAACGAUGCAUAGCCGACCUGAGAGGGUGAUCGGCCACACUGGGACUGAGACACGGCCCAGACUCCUACGGGAGGCAGCAGUAGGGAAUCUUCCGCAAUGGACGAAAGUCUGACGGAGCAACGCCGCGUGUAUGAAGAAGGUUUUCGGAUCGUAAAGUACUGUUGUUAGAGAAGAACAAGGAUAAGAGUAACUGCUUGUCCCUUGACGGUAUCUAACCAGAAAGCCACGGCUAACUACGUGCCAGCAGCCGCGGUAAUACGUAGGUGGCAAGCGUUGUCCGGAUUUAUUGGGCGUAAAGCGCGCGCAGGCGGUCUUUUAAGUCUGAUGUGAAAGCCCCCGGCUUAACCGGGGAGGGUCAUUGGAAACUGGAAGACUGGAGUGCAGAAGAGGAGAGUGGAAUUCCACGUGUAGCGGUGAAAUGCGUAGAUAUGUGGAGGAACACCAGUGGCGAAGGCGACUCUCUGGUCUGUAACUGACGCUGAGGCGCGAAAGCGUGGGGAGCAAACA
rnacentral:rRNA from 1 species